GACGAACGCUGGCGGCGUGCCUAAUACAUGCAAGUAGAACGCUGAAGGAGGAGCUUGCUUCUCUGGAUGAGUUGCGAACGGGUGAGUAACGCGUAGGUAACCUGCCUGGUAGCGGGGGAUAACUAUUGGAAACGAUAGCUAAUACCGCAUAAGAGUAGAUGUUGCAUGACAUUUGCUUAAAAGGUGCAAUUGCAUCACUACCAGAUGGACCUGCGUUGUAUUAGCUAGUUGGUGGGGUAACGGCUCACCAAGGCGACGAUACAUAGCCGACCUGAGAGGGUGAUCGGCCACACUGGGAAUGGGAGACGGCCCAGACUCCUACGGGAGGCAGCAGUAGGGAAUCUUCGGAAAUGGACGGAAGUCUGACCGAGCAACGCCGCGGGAGUGAAGAAGGUUUUCGGAUCGUAAAGCUCUGUUGUAAGAGAAGAACGAGUGUGAGAGUGGAAAGUUCACACUGUGACGGUAUCUUACCAGAAAGGGACGGCUAACUACGUG
rnacentral:rRNA from 1 species